AAAUUACAGUUUUGGUCCCUGAAAACUCUAUGACCCUGACACUCCCCCACUUAAACGGUCGACGUCCUCGUCGACUGGGUUUGUUGGGGUUCCUCAAUCUUUGAGUCCGACAUUCUUAGGCUUGCAGUGUGAUUUGAUCCCAGUCCUGCUCAAUUAAAUUGUUGGACAGCCUUAAUCCUUAGUAUCUCCUCCCAAUUGAUCUCUGUGGACUGCUACUUCCUAAUGCUGAUGAGACUACAAAAGCUCUAUCUUCUGGUGGUAAAUGUUCUGCCCUUGAUUCCUUAGACUACUGCAAACGGUGCUAGAAAUUAUUGCUCUCCUCCUCUGCACGAACUUAUUGCCUGAAGUCAUUGAUCAUUGGUUCUUUUCUCUGCACGAACUUAUUGCCUGAAGUCAUUGAUCACUAGUUCUUUUCUCCUAAACCUGUCUCGCCAUUACUCGUCUUUAAUUGUCGACCUUACUCCUCGCCUCAAAAGCACGACCCCAUCGGGCAACAAAUCUAUCAACCUGCACACACUCGUGCCACACGACAUCGUGAUUAACCUGUAAUAGUCUCAUAAGAAAGAUUAGUACCACCCAUGUCAGAUUCAAAUACAAAUUAGUAUAGCAAGUCAUCUAAAAUACAACCCAUUACAACUCAACAGGUGUGCCAACUGCACUUGACCACUAAGACUUGAACUGAUUUUACCCAUUCCCUUGACAUAACACCACGUUAUCCCACUUGCAGCGAAGCUCGGCGAAUCCUCCUAAGAAAUUGGUGUCUCCAUUGUCAAUAGAGAUCACUCCACACUCUCUUUCUCUUUUGUCCGUUUUACAGUCUUCCCUUCAUAAGCUCCGGUAUUAUGCUCAUUUUAUCUCCUUUUUCUCUCUCCCCAAUAAUGUAGUUAAUGCAAAAUGCUUACAAAACGACGCACAUCACACACCAAAUAACCACGACCACUGAACCCUAUGAGCCGCAGAAGACUACUCAAAACAGCUACUAACAUUGACUAUACAUAAAGCAAUUAAUAUCAUCAUUAUGAUUCAAUAAUAAGAAAUUACUAGAAGAUACCCCCUUUAUUAUGCCGCUUUCAUCAUAGCUCUCAACAUCGACUUGCCUCACCAACUUGGCUUAAGCAACCUGUGCUUCUCGACCUAUCUCGGUCCUCUUCCACGUUGAUCCACUUGUGAGAACUUUUGUUUAGCCCUGAGGUCUCUUUCCUGCUCAACAACAAGGGUAGGACUAAAUUUGUCCUUUUAAUUAUACAUUAUUUUCCAAUCCUCUUUUUAAGGAAGCUAUACCCUGUAUGUUCACCAUAUCUGUUAGCACCAACUUGUCAAGUCCCACAUCACGAGGAACCUGACUCAAUAAUACACAAAAUAUCUCAAAAUGAAUAACUAAAAUGAAGUAAGACAAAGAAUAAUAUCAGGAAACACCAAAGCAUUAUACUUGUCUGAUGUGAGAGAGUUCCCUCUUGUUAAAUUCCCUUCUCUCGUACUGAAUUGUCACUAAGGAUCUCAAUCUCUCCUCAUUACCUUGAGCCCCACACUCCUUUGACUAGCUCACUGGUUCUCACUUUUGCCAGUUUCCACUUAUCCUCCUUCUUUUGUCGUAGGACGAGUGAAUUACUUGCUUUCACAGCCCUGUUGCUCUCAAUGGAAUUUGAUACAACUCUCGCCCAAUGUCACCCUACAUGCCUCUUGGUUGUCCGAUCAAAAUGUUCACUUACCUCAAAGAGAACGAACAUGUGCUCGGCAAUCAUAGUUGGUUGGCACCUAUCAUCCAUUGUUUCAUACUCUUGUAAUUGUUAUUUUCCUUUUUAGGGUAUGCCCUUCCUAUUUUGAUGCUCGUUUUCUGUAUUCUUGUAAAGGAUAUGUUUUUGAGAGAUGAGGCAACUACCACUUUUGAUCUAUCACCAUCUCAUCCACACCAGUGUUUCACAUGGAUCCCUCAAGGCUCUUCUUUCUGCACUAACAACGUUGCACAACAUAGCAAGAAUUAUAGGAGCAAUAACUUGCUCACUAAUUACGCACCAGGAUCAAGUAAUUUAUAAAAGAAUAUCAUACCAGUUGAUAACCAUGGUACUCAUUUCUCAUAAUGACCAC
rnacentral:lncRNA from 1 species